UGGAGGGGUCUGGGCGGGGCUCAGGUCGGUGCUGGUGUUUAGCGGGGGCCCAACACACCUCGGUCUCCUCACCCACCUAAGCGGGGAGAGUGGCGCACAACGUGGCCUGACUCCAUCCUCUGGUAUCUCGUGCCUCAGUUUCCCAUCUGUAAAUGGAACACACGCGAUUUCAGCCGCCGUUCAACCUUUCUAAAAGCUUUCACAUCCAUUAUCUGACUGGUGUCUCAAACUGCUACUGAGGCUUCAGCUCUGAUCUGGACCAGUGCUCUCCAGGCCUACUGCACAGCUGUCAUACUGAACUUUCCUAUAUCCUACACCUGGUUGGGAUUCCCUGUGCCCUGGACCUUGUGUCUCAAACUUCUAGAUUGUGGAUUUACUCUGUCAUCUCUGUGCAGCACAUCUUUCUGUAGAUUCCUGAGAAAGGUUGCAAAGAAGCAAAUAUAUUUAGUCCUUGUAUGUCUAAA